CACCAGUGGCGAAGGCGGCCUGCUGGACAUCAACUGACGCUGAGGCGCGAAAGCGCGGGGAGCAAACAGGAUUAGAUACCCUGGGUAGUCCACACCGUAAACGAUGUACACUAGGUGUUGGGGGAUGAACCUCAGUGCCGAAGCAAACGUGAUAAGUGUACCGCCUGGGGAGUAUGCCCGCAAGGGU
rnacentral:rRNA from 1 species